rnacentral:rRNA from 1 species
GGCGGUAUAAGAUGACUAUGCGUUCUAUUAGUUUGUUGGUAAGGUAACGGCUUACCAAGACUACGAUAGAUAGGGUCCUGAGAGGGAGAUCCCCCACACUGGUACUGAGACACGGACCAGACUCCUACGGGAGGCAGCAGUGAGGAAUAUUGGACAAUGGAGGCAACUCUGAUCCAGCCAUGCCGCGUGUAGGAAGACUGCCCUAUGGGUUGUAAACUACUUUUAUAUGGGAAGAAUAAGGUAUAUGUAUAUACUGAUGACGGUACCAUAAGAAUAAGCACCGGCUAACUCCGUGCCAGCAGCCGCGGUAAUACGGAGGGUGCAAGCGUUAUCCGGAAUCAUUGGGUUUAAAGGGUCCGUAGGCGGGCUUGUAAGUCAGUGGUGAAAGUCUGUGGCUCAACCAUAGAAUUGCCAUUGAUACUGCAGGUCUUGAAUUAUUGUGAAGUGGUUAGAAUAUGUAGUGUAGCGGUGAAAUGCUUAGAGAUUACAUAGAAUACCGAUUGCGAAGGCAGAUCACUAACAAUAUAUUGACGCUGAUGGACGAAAGCGUAGGUAGCGAACAGGAUUAGAUACCCUGGUAGUCUACGCCGUAAACGAUGGAUACUAGUUGUUUGGCUUUCGGGCUGAGUGACUAAGCGAAAGUGAUAAGUAUCCCACCUGGGGAGUACGUUCGCAAGAAUGAAACUCAAAGGAAUUGACGGGGGCCCGCACAAGCGGUGGAGCAUGUGGUUUAAUUCGAUGAUACGCGAGGAACCUUACCAGGGCUUAAAUGUAGUCUGACAGGGCCAGAGAUGGCUUUUUCUUCGGACAGAUUACAAGGUGCUGCAUGGUUGUCGUCAGCUCGUGCCGUGAGGUGUCAGGUUAAGUCCUAUAACGAGCGCAACCCCUGUGGUUAGUUGCCAGCGAGUAAUGUCGGGAACUCUAGCCAGACUGCCGGUGCAAACCGUGAGGAAGGUGGGGAUGACGUCAAAUCAUCACGGCCCUUACGUCCUGGGCCACACACGUGCUACAAUGGUAGGGACAGAGAGCAGCCACUGGGCGACCAGGAGCGAAUCUAUAAACCCUAUCUCAGUUCGGAUUGGAGUCUGCAACUCGACUCCAUGAAGCUGGAAUCGCUAGUAAUCGGAUAUCAGCCAUGAUCCGGUGAAUACGUUCCCGGGCCUUGUACACACCGCCCGUCAAGCCAUGGAAGCUGGGGGUACCUGAAGUCCGUUACCGCAAGGAGCGGCCUAGGGUAAAACUGGUAACUGGGGCUAAGUCGUAACAAGGUAGCCGUACCGGAAGGUGCGGCUGGAACACCUCCUUUCU